AAAUACCAAAAGCUGUCCUCAUUGAGUCAUCCCUCCCAGAGCAGGAAGAGCAGAGGUUCUGGGAAACAACCCCAAGGAGAGAGACAGGGCAUUUAUAAAACAGCAUGUAAGCAUCUCUGCAGUUGCUGUCCCCAGAGCCCACUUCCUGGAUAUUGCCAGCUGCCUGGACCAACCUUUCCGAAAGAUCAGCCAGGUCACAGUGAGGGUCAAAGGUGAGCCACGGGCCUCAGCAGCUGCUGAGUGGAUGGUGCGUGGGACUCAGGAAGUGACGUUCUCUCCCCGCCCAGCCCCCUUCCUCAGUCUAUUGCUCCGAAUCCUGGACCACACACUGCGUGCUGAGGCUCCAUCGCUGUGCUGGGUGAGGGGUGGAGGACUGUCCAGCUGACAGCCACCCAGGAGGCCUGCCCAGGAGACCCAGCCCAGCCUCUCCUUGGAACCUGAAGAACUCCAGGCAGCUGAUGGGACACUGGGGCCCAGGAGGCCACUGGAGGCUCCAAGGGCUCUGAAAUGUUGAGAACUUCCCUGCAGGUACCAGCGAAGAGGGCAAGAACACAGCACUACUUCCUUGGAUACUGUUUCCCUCCUCAGAGGGGUUUUCUGAGCUGCCCUGGGUCCUGUGAGGAAGGCAGAAGUCCUAGCAGAGUAUGCCCACGCUGGUUAGUGCUGCUGCAAAGAUGAGCCGAAGACCAUGAGAGACCUCCAGGUGGUCCUUCUGGGGAGAAGAAAUGGGUUUUGGCCCCAAAUCCUUCUGCUGCAUUUUUCCCCUAUCCCUGGGAAGCCAUGAGACCUCAAACCUGUGUUCCCAAGGAGGCGAGCUGCUGUUCCCAGGUGAUGAUAUGAUGUGCUUGGGGAAAGUAAGUGGCUGCCAGACAUGGCUGAGAGCUGUUGUCACUGCCGUCAAGUGCAUGUCUCCAAGCCAUAUCACACGGCGUCCCUCGAUGUGAGGCCACAUGGCAAGUGGGCCGUGGAUCUCCCUCUGCCCUUUGCAAGCACGUAAGACAGCAGAUUUUGCAGAUACCUUGUGGCGCAGGGGAAUUUCCUUUGGCCAGGUCUGAAGAAAUAAAGCAGCAGGCACCGAGAACAAAGCCAAGGCUUUCAAAAGACAAGGAGCCAAAAAACUUACUCAAAAUAAAAGUAGUUUUAAAAUG
rnacentral:sRNA from 1 species